UCUCGGCUAAUGAGUGACAAUAUMCUCGACGCCCAAGGCAAUCUAAGUCAUCUUCCAAGUGGGGAGUUCGUUUUGGGUUUUCCAAAACGAACGAUCUGCGGCAACAUCGGUAAAGACGUGGCGUCGACGAAAGUCGUGCCACGUCUCGAUGUUGUUGACCCAUCUCCUGAUUUCGGAUAUCUUGUCUCAUUUGCCGAUGAUAUUCAUUAAAUGAUGUGGCUAUGGCAGGUUGCUUGGUGAUCUUAGUUCGACUUUGAUCUUAGUUUUAAGCUUAACCGGUUUUCUUCACKAGGCCCGCACUAUCGGUCUGAUUGUAUGGCAUGUUCUUGUUUGAUUGUUGCCUUACGAUUGUAUUGYUAGUGUGACCGAUGACAUGAUGUGACUUGUUAAUCUUUAAACUUUUC
rnacentral:misc_RNA from 1 species